rnacentral:rRNA from 1 species
CCUACGGGAGGCAGCAGAUGGGCGAAAGCCUGAUCCAGCAAUGCCGCGUGAGUGAUGAAGGCCUUAGGGUUGUAAAGCUCUUUUACCCGGGAUGAUAAUGACAGUACCGGGAGAAUAAGCUCCGGCUAACUCCGUGCCAGCAGCCGCGGUAAU